AGCCGCAUGCGAAGAUCCAUUAUCGCAUGUGGCUGCUUAAGACAGCCGCAUCAUGCGACUGUCAGCCACAUGCGACCACAUGCGAUAAUGGAUCUUCGCAUGCGGCU
rnacentral:pre_miRNA from 9 species